UUCCGGUUGAUCCUGCCGGACCCGACUGCUAUUUGGGUGAGAAUAAGCCAUGCGAGUUGAAUGGGAUACCUAAAUUUCCCAUAGCAAACUGCUCAGUAACACAUGAUCAACUUACCCUAUAGAGAAAAAUAACCUCGGGAAACUGAGGAUAAUGUUUCAUAAUUGAAUUGGCUUGGAAAAGUUUUUCAAUGAAAAGGAUAAAAAAAAUGGUUUUUAUCUGCUAUAGGAUAGGAUCGUGUUCGAUUAUGGUUGUUGGUGAGAUAAUGGCUCACCAAGCCGAUAAUCGAUAGGGGCCGUGAGAGCGGGAGCCCCGAGAUGGGUACUGAGACAACGACCCAGGCCUUACGAGGCGCAGCAGGCGCGGAACCUCCGCAAUACACGAAAGUGUGACGGGGUUACCCAAAGUGUUCAAUAGAACUGUGGUAGGUGAGUAAUGUCCCCUACUAGAAAGGAGAGGGCAAGGCUGGUGCCAGCCGCCGCGGUAAAACCAGCUCUUCAAGUGGUCGGGAUAAUUAUUGGGCUUAAAGUGUCCGUAGCCGGUUUAGUAAGUUCCUGGUAAAAUCGGGUAGCUUAACUAUCUGCAUGCUAGGAAUACUGCUAUACUAGAGGGCGGGAGAGGUCUGAGGUACUACAGGGGUAGGGGUGAAAUCUUAUAAUCCUUGUAUGACCACCAGUGGCGAAAGCGUCAGACUGGAACGCGCCUGACGGUGAGGGACGAAAGCCAGGGGAGCGAACCGGAUUAGAUACCCGGGUAGUCCUGGACGUAAACGAUGCAUACUAGGUGAUGGUACGGUCCAUGAGCCGUAUCAGUGCCGUAAGGGAAACGGUUAAGUGUGCCGACUGAGAAGUAUGUCGCGAGGAAUAUAACGUUAAACGGAAUUGGCUGGGGUAGCAUCACAUGGGGCUGAAGCUGGCGGGUCAUUGCAUCAUCGACAGU
rnacentral:rRNA from 1 species